rnacentral:lncRNA from 1 species
CAAGCUUUGAAAGUCUUACUUCAUGAGCUAGCUUAACUUUUGGUCAUCAAAGGCAAUUUAGCUGCAGAGAAACUUAGCUAGCAGUUGUCUUUAAACCUACGGUUGAUGCCUGAGGAAAGAGGGAAAAGUAGACUGUUUCUAAUUUGAAUGGGAUAUGGGUGGUGGGCAAGAGUCCUAGUGCAAAAGAGUGAGACUUAGAAAGGCUCUUGUGAAAACUGUAUUUACUUAACAGGAGACUUAGUAAGAGAUUUAUUUGAGAAGGUGGAAGUUUCAAAUUGAAGGAUGGGCCAUAUCACCCAGAUGGUAGUAAUCCUCGCUCCUGGUAGUACUUCUUCUUUACUGGGAGGAGUGGAAGAGAAAUGAUCUUCAAGGAAAUUCUAGUUGGACUCAGACUACAACAUUGGCUCUUCCUGGGUCUUAAGUCUGCCAGACUUCAGGUUGGGACCACACCAUCGCCUCUCCUCAGUUUCCAGCUCGCCAAUUUACCCUGCAGAUCUUGCAACUUGUCAGCCUCCAAAACCAU